rnacentral:tRNA from 1 species
GUCCCCGUAGCUCAGUCGGAUAGAGCGUCGGAUUCCUAAUCCGAAGGUCACAGGUUCGAAUCCUGUCGGGGACACCA